UACUGAGGGUGCGAGCGUUAAUCGGAAUUACUGGGCGUAAAGCGAGUGUAGGCGGUUACCUAAGUCGGAUGUGAAAGCCCCGGGCUUAACCUGGGAAUUGCAUUCGAUACUGGGUGACUGGAGUUUGGUAGAGGUAAGUGGAAUUCCGGGUGUAGCGGUGAAAUGCGUAGAUAUCCGGAGGAACAUCAGUGGCGAAGGCGGCUUACUGGACCAAAACUGACGCUGAGGCUCGAAAGCGUGGGUAGCAAACAGG
rnacentral:rRNA from 1 species